UUCAAUGUGUAUAUACUUUAAGGGUUUACCAAUUCGAAUAAUUAAAAUUCAAUUUCAAAAAAAAAAUGAAGGGAGAAGGGAGAUGAGAGAAGAGAGAAGAGAGAAAAAGCAAAGAAAAGCCCGCAGAGAGUUAACGGAGCAUUAGAGUUGAAGGUAGGGUUCAAGAUUUGAUUUGUCGAUCUUUUUCUAGUUGCUUCUAUUUUCUUUUGUUUUUACUUUCGAGUAAGGGCAAGAGGUUUUCUUUUGACGUCGUUGUCUGUCCUGGUUCUCUCUCACGGAGGAUGGACAGGCUGGUGUUUUUCUUUUUGUUGUUGUUUUGUUUUAUUGUUUUGUUUUGUUCUCUUGGUUUCUAGAUCAUCGGUAUUGGAUUUUGUGAGGGAGUUUAUUAUCAAAGAAUUUAUUACUCGAGAUUUCGACUCUAGCUUCCGAUGGAAAUGAUAGCUCUGUUCGUGAUGUCGUCACCUCAGGACUGCACCGAUAUGUCCGAUAGUCAACACUCCCAUCGGCCUUUCUCGGUUGGACUCUGCGACGUCUCCUUCCUUGGUUCGCUUCAGUCGGUGGACUAAUCCUACUUUUGAAAGCCUAUUACUUAUUUGUGUGUGUUGCAUGCUUGUUGCCUAUGCUUAUAUGAUGUUGUGUGCUUUCUGCAAUGGUAUUUGUGUACGCCCGCCGCCGUUUGUAUUUUCUUUUUGUGUAUUUCUUGUUCGCUCCGGUCCAACUGCAGCUGCAGCACUUAAAAACCAUGUUGAUCAAUCGGUAUAUAUCCAUAGAAUCAAUGGACUCGGUGCUGAAAACGCAUAUGGUUGGGUGGCUUGGUUUUGAUUUUGUUUAGUUCUUAUUCUGGUUUGUGCCUGAUUUAAUUUCUAGUUUAAUUUUUUUCUGUUUUGGGUUUUUAUUUUCUGUAACUCCUCUUGUAUAGCUCUAUAAACCUUGCACAAAUGUAAUAUAUUUCCGUUG
rnacentral:lncRNA from 1 species